CCUACGGGAGGCUGCAGUGAGGAAUAUUGGUCAAUGGACGAGAGUCUGAACCAGCCAAGUCGCGUGAAGGAUGACUGCCCUAUGGGUUGUAAACUUCUUUUAUAUGGGAAUAAAAUGUUCCACGUGUGGGAUUUUGUAUGUACCAUAUGAAUAAGGAUCGGCUAACUCCGUGCCAGCAGCCGCGGUAAUACGGAGGAUCCGAGCGUUAUCCGGAUUUAUUGGGUUUAAAGGGAGCGUAGGUGGAUUGUUAAGUCAGUUGUGAAAGUUUGCGGCUCAACCGUAAAAUUGCAGUUGAAAAUGGCAGUCUUGAGUACAGUAGAGGUGGGCGGAAUGCGUGGUGUAGCGGUGAAAUGCUUAGAUAUCACGAAGAACUCCGAUUGCGAAGGCAGUUCACUGGACUGCAACUGACACUGAGGCUCGAAAGUGUGGGUAUCAAACAGGAUUAGAUACCCGUGUAGUC
rnacentral:rRNA from 1 species